rnacentral:rRNA from 1 species
AGUGAACGCCGGCGGUAGGCCUAACACAUGCAAGUCGAACGGCAGCACAGUAAGAGCUUGCUCUUACGGGUGGCGAGUGGCGGACGGGUGAGGAAUACAUCGGAAUCUACUUUUUCGUGGGGGAUAACGUAGGGAAACUUACGCUAAUACCGCAUACGACCUACGGGUGAAAGCAGGGGAUCUUCGGACCUUGCGCGAUUGAAUGAGCCGAUGUCGGAUUAGCUAGUUGGCGGGGUAAAGGCCCACCAAGGCGACGAUCCGUAGCUGGUCUGAGAGGAUGAUCAGCCACACUGGAACUGAGACACGGUCCAGACUCCUACGGGAGGCAGCAGUGGGGAAUAUUGGACAAUGGGCGCAAGCCUGAUCCAGCCAUACCGCGUGGGUGAAGAAGGCCCUCGGGUUGUAAAGCCCUUUUGUUGGGAAAGAAAAGCAGCAGGUUAAUACCCCGCUGUUCUGACGGUACCCAAAGAAUAAGCACCGGCUAACUUCGUG